GAUGAAGAACGUAGCGAAAUGCGAUAAGUAGUGUGAAUUGCAGAAUUCAGUGAAUCAUCGAAUCUUUGAACGCACAUUGCGCCCCUUGGUAUUCCAUGGGGCAUGCCUGUUCGAGCGUCAUUUGUACCUUCAAGCUCUGCUUGGUGUUGGGUGUUUGUCCUUGCUCUAGUGGCGGGACUCGCCUUAAAGUAAUUGGCAGCCAGUGUUUUGGUUUUGAAGCGCAGCACAAGUCGCGAUUCAAGUCUAUACGCUAGUUUCCACAAGUCUUUUAUCACUUUUGACCUCGGAUCAGGUAGGGAUACCCGCUGAACUUAAGCAUAUCAAUAACGGGGA
rnacentral:misc_RNA from 1 species